rfam:Otolemur garnettii contig044167, whole genome shotgun sequence.
GGGCCUGUGGCUCAAAGGGGUAGAGCGCUGGCCCCAUAUGCUGGAGGUGGCAGGUUCAAACCCAGCCCCGGCCA